UGCAUAUCAAUAAGCGGAGGAAAAGAAACUAACAAGGAUUCCCCUAGUAACGGCGAGUGAAGCGGGAAGAGCUCAAAUUUGUAAUCUGGCACUUUCAGUGUCCGAGUUGUAAUCUCGAGAAGUAUUUUCCGCGCCGGACCGCAUACAAGUCUGUUGGAAUACAGCGUCAUAGUGGUGAGAACCCCGUAACUGAUGCGGAUGCCCGGUGCUUUGUGAUAUACUUUCGAAGAGUCGAGUUGUUUGGGAAUGCAGCUCAAAUUGGGUGGUAAAUUCCAUCUAAAGCUAAAUAUUGGAGCAAGACCGAUAGCGAACAAGUACCGUGAGGGAAAGAUGAAAAGCACUUUGGAAAGAGAGUUAACAGUACGUGAAAUUGUUGGAAGGGAAACGCUUGAAGUCAGACUUGCUAUUCGGAGUUCAGCCGCAAGGUGUAUUCUUCGAUUUGCAGGCCAGCAUCAGUUUUUGGGGGUGGAAAAUCGUGGUUUGAAGGUAGCAGUUUCGGCUGUGUUAUAGCUUUCCACUGGAUUCAUCUUCGGGGACUGAGGAACGCAGUACGCUUUUUGCAAGGCUUUCGAGCUUUUCGUACUUAGGAUGCUGGUGGAAUGGCUUUAAACGACCCGUCUUGAAACACGGACC
rnacentral:rRNA from 1 species